GUUGACCUCGGAUCAGGUAGGAAUACCCGCUGAACUUAAGCAUAUCAAUAAGCGGAGGAAAAGAAACCAACAGGGAUUGCCCCAGUAACGGCGAGUGAAGCGGCAACAGCUCAAAUUUGAAAUCUGGCCUCCGGGUCCGAGUUGUAAUUUGUAGAGGAUGCUUUUGGCGAGGUGCCUUCCGAGUUCCCUGGAACGGGACGCCAUAGAGGGUGAGAGCCCCGUCUGGUCGGACACCGAGCCUCUGUAAAGCUCCUUCGACGAGUCGAGUAGUUUGGAAUUUGCUGCUAAAAA
rnacentral:rRNA from 1 species